UAAUAGUGUAUAUUAAAGUUGUUGCAGUUAAAAAGCUCGUAGUUGAAUGUUGGUGUCGAACGAGCGGUCAGCUUCGGCUGUACUGCUCUCUCGACUCCUUCCUUCUGUGGACUACGUCGCACUUUACUGUGUGGCGCUAGGACGCAGAUCGUUUACUGUGAAAAAAUUAGAGUGUUCAAAGCAGGCCGUACGCUUGAAUACAUUAGCAUGGAAUAAUGGAAUAGGACGUCGGGCCUAUUUUGUUGGUUCUAGGACCGUCGUAAUGAUUAAUAGGGACAGUUGGGGCCGUUUAUAUUCCGUAGUCAGAGGUGAAAUUCUUGGAUUUACGGAAGAUAAACUACUGCGAAAGCAUUCGGCAAGGAUGUUUUCAUUA
rnacentral:rRNA from 1 species